GCCGAGGCCACGCCCACCCGGAACUCGCGCUGGCCCGCAAGCGCCGCGCGCAGCCCUGGUUCCCGCCCGUGCCUCUUCCUCCACACUUUCCCGCAAGCUGAGGGAGCCGGCUCCCGCCUUGGCCAGCCCGGAAAGGGGCUCCCACGGUGCAGCGGUGGGCUGAAGGGCUCCUCAAGCACGGCCAGAGUGGGCGCCAAGGCCGAGGAGGCCCCGAGAGCGAGCGAGGGCUGCCAGUAUGCUGUCACCUCUCAUUAUUAUUUGCCGAUGGGAGUGGAGAAGGAGACUUGGUGAUAACAGGACUGAAAACCUUGUGUAGCCUACAGUCCAUAUGCUUCAGUCUAUUGUGUCUUGAUCUAAGAAGAGAUGCAGAACAGAUGCUAAGAAGACUUAGACGCAAUGAGCCCCAGAAACAGAAUGCUGAUGUUCCAUGUAGAGAGGAAUUAUGACUAUGCCUCUCGUGCAAGUCUGAGCCUGGAGGACACUCAUCCUGUGGUAUGCCGUCGCCCCAAAGUGAUCCAGAAAAGCUGUCUGCAGACGCGCUCCUGCCAAACUCCUGUGGAAGAAGCCCCAGCUAUGUUUUCAGUGGUGGGUCUGGGGAGAAGAAGUAUCCUUUGGCAAAAUCCUUCAAAAGUACCAGAGAGCCCUGGCUGUUGGGGUACACUUGCAGACUUUCCCCACUGAGCCACUUUACCUGUGCCUCUGCUGAAAGAAACUUCUCACAAGUGGAAAGUUGAGGGGCUGAAGGCCUGCAGUCUGAUUUCUUUUGUUCUACAGGAUACUCCCUUAAUGUGAUCAAAACUGCUUUUGCAAAGAUUAUAACCGAGGAAAUUACGACAGUGAAAGAGAUCAGACCUAACUGACUCCAUCUUGCUUCUAAUCUUGUUCAAUAUCCUUGUUAAUUCCUGGGCAUAGGUCGAAAAACCUUGUGAAGGAAUUCAGUUUAUGGUUUGACUCUGAAACAAAGCUGCUAACAGCCCUUUCUCGAAAAGACCUCCUUCUCACCCGGGAACUAGUCUGCCUUUGUAGGACUAACAAAUUAGCUACAAGGUUAGAAAUUACUGUUUAGGGGUCAUGCAGCCUCUGGCUCCAAGAGUCUGAACCUCCCCACAUUGCUCCUAGGAAUAACGCCACUACUGUAAAACCUAAGAUCAGGUUUUAUUUUAAAAUAUCAGGUGAUAUUUUGCAGACCCUGCAUUGGGUGGAUCAACUGACACCACCCAGACCUGUAAUCUGGCCCAACCAGUUCUGCGAUCCUACUCAGGAACAGAAGAUAGCAAGAAAACCUCAUCUUGACCCCCUAUGAUUUCAUUUCCAACCUGACCAAUCAGCACUCCCCACUUGCCCAGCUCCUACCCACCAAAUUGUCUUUAAAAACUCCCUAUCCUGGAAUGCUCAGAGGGACUGAUUUGAGUAAUAAUAAAACUCUGGUCUCCCACACAGAAUUACUGCAUGAAUUACUCUUUCUCCAUUGCAAUUCCCCUGUCUUGAUAAAUCGGCUCUGUCUAGGCAGCGGGCAAGGUGAACCCAUUGUGCGGUUACAUGGUGCCCUCCCAUAUGCCCUAGAAGUAGCCAUUCCUGAGGGUCAGACUACUAUGAAUCCUGAUGCUCCUCUAUGUCUAACUGCCCAGCGGGGAAACCACAUUCCAGGCUGGUGCUGGGGAAUGUCUGCUAAGUAUCCAAUGAUGUGGCCUGUUCUCUAGUCUCCCUGCAGUGGGUAACAGCACCAGCUCUGAUGGGGGUGGGAGGGGGCUUACAUAGACUCUGAGAUUCCCUUAGUUAUAUAUAGCCUUAUUGUGUUGGUAUUCUCAAAGGCCAAAUUUAGUAUUAAUGUACUGGGCGUGUGAACAGACUCAAGACCUCCUGGUCAGCCAGGGUGAUGCAAGAAAUGGUGGUAACCGAGGCCAUGCAAAAGUUUUCUCUUUCCUGAAUGCUGUUAUUCUGUCUGCAGAUGCUGUAAUGGACUGUGUUGGUUGGCCUCCAGCCAGGAGGUGGUGCUUGCAAAAUAGUACCAGCUGCAGUGGUAGCAGUGGGGUUUGCGCUUGCCUUAUGUUUCCCAGAGAAUGUACUCUGGUGUCUCGGGCAAGGGGCGGGACCAUGGAGCUCUAAAACAUCCCUGUCUAUUGUGUUGUACAACCAGAGCAGAUGAAGGGGUAAAGCCAGAGCAGGUGGAGGCUGGGUCAGGCAAGUCCGUGCUCGGGCUCCCCAUGUGCAAGCUCAGGAAGUGGCUCCAAUGUGGAUCAGAGGGCAGUUGCCUUGCCUCUGGGGUAAUGUUCUAGGGAGGAGUGCAGCUUCUUCUGCUGCAUAAAAUAAUCUGCACAGGGAGCGGUGGGUAGCCGGCAGCAGUAAGCUCCACUCAGCUCCCAUGCACUUGGCAAGGCACAUCUCACACUCACAGUGUUCUAUUAGCAACAGCUAGCUGAGUUCCAGGCAGCCUCUACCCAGAACUCAAAACUGGUGGAGAACACAGCUUUCAGGCCAUGCCCCUCCCAGUCAACCUAUGAAGCAGGUGGCUAUAAGCACACUUUCCGCUUGCUACUCCAUUCUGGCUGAUGGGGCUCAUCCCCACUCAAGAUCAUAUUGAAAAUUUCAGCUGGGAGAUUCUCUCAACCUGUGACCAACACCUGAGUUAGCUGGCCAACUUCCAUGAUGUCCCUUGUGAGGUGAGAAUAGGAAUGGCUCUGUACCCAUUGGGGUCUGGGAGUGCAUGCAAAGCACAUCCUGAUGCCGCUUCUUCUCCUAUAUUCCCCACCUCUCACUAAAUCAGCUCCAGAGCCUGGAAGGGUUAACACCUUCACCUGUGGCCUAGAUCGCCCAGCUCCCUGUGGGAGUGUGUGUCACAGCAUCAUCUCUCUCCCUCUCAUGACCUGGAGACUCACACUUUUCUGUAUGGCCCACAGUGUAGGCUGCAGCCCAUUGCUUCUUUCAAAAGGCCUGUGGUUUCUUUGACUUUUUCUGUUAAGUUCCUGUGUUGCUUCAUGGAAAACCGAGUUCACAGAAUAAAUCUUAACACACUAUUUUUGCCUUUCCAAGUGGGAGAGGCAGGCAAACAUUGACUCUAAUCUACCAUCUUGCGGGGGGGUGGGGAUGGGGGUGGGGAACAGUUUUAUCUUUAAAGUGACCAAUAAUGUCUCUCCAGGAUAGAAUAAAGCAAUCUUUCAUAUAAGUAGCAGAUUAAGAAAAUGGCAACAAGGAAUCUCACCAGAUCUUCACAACUAGGUUAAUUUUGUUAUUGCUUUAAAUCUCCUUAAUAAAAGUAACUACUUAGACAAUUUUUUUUUGUAGUUAACAACACACUUGCACAAUAUUCAGGGCAAUCAGUAUAUAUGCAAAUUUAACUACUAAUAUAUUCACUUCAAUCAGUAAAGUAUGCAGAAACGUAAUAGUUGAAGUGUUCAGCUUAGGUAGUAAACAGUAUGCAGCUGGCUCUAUAAAAAUAAAAUAUGACUAUGACAUAAAGAAAAUUUACAAAACGUUUAAAUCUCAAGACUGCUGUCCAGGUUUUCAUCAACAAUAUAAUUUGAUAAAUAUGUUAAUCAAUAGCAAAUCAGUGCAAUUAACAGUUUGUUGGAUUUUAUUGCUUUCAAUUUCAGUGACAUCUCAUAUCAAAUGAAACAAUAUCUCUUGUAUCAAAUGAAGUAAUAUGUAUUUGUAAAAUAAAAG
rnacentral:lncRNA from 1 species